rnacentral:rRNA from 1 species
GGUUGACCUCGGAUCAGGUAGGAAUACCCGCUGAACUUAAGCAUAUCAAUAAGCGGAGGAAAAGAAACCAACAGGGAUUGCCUCAGUAACGGCGAGUGAAGCGGCAACAGCUCAAAUUUGAAAGCUGGCCCCCCAGGGGUCCGCGUUGUAAUUUGCAGAGGAUGCUUCGGGCGCGGCGCCUUCCGAGUCCCCUGGAACGGGGCGCCAUAGAGGGUGAGAGCCCCGUAUGGUUGGACGCCUAGCCCGUGUGAAGCUCCUUCGACGAGUCGAGUAGUUUGGGAAUGCUGCUCUAAACGGGAGGUAAAUUCCUUCUAAAGCUAAAUACCGGCCAGAGACCGAUAGCGCACAAGUAGAGUGAUCGAAAGAUGAAAAGCACUUUGAAAAGAGGGUUAAAUAGCACGUGAAAUUGCUGAAAGGGAAGCGCCUAUGACCAGACGCGCGCCGGGCGGAUCAUCCAGCGUUCUCGCUGGUGCACUCCGCUCGGCGCGGGCCAGCAUCGGUUUCCACGGUGGCUGAAGCGCCGGAAAGUAGCUCCCUUCGGGGAGUGUUAUAGCCGGCGUGGCGGCACCCGCGGG